GGAAGCUGCGGCUGGCGCCGGCGGCAGACCCCGGCGCGCGGGGCGGCGGCUCGCGAGGCUGCGGCCGGCCGGCUGGAUUGGCGUGGGCGGCGGCUCCAGGCGCGCGACGCUGACUCCAGCCGGCGAUGCGCGGGGCUGCGGCCGGCCGGCGGCGCGCGGGGCCGCAUCACGGCCAGAUCUAGCGCGGGCGACAGCUCCCGGCACGUGGGGCUUAGGCAACCGGCGGCACGCGUGGCUGCGGCUGGGCUCCCGACGGCACGUGAGGCUGCGGGCGCGGCGGGCAGCGGGCAGCGAGCAGCGAGGAAAGGGCGCACAGGGGCCCUCAGACACCACCAAGCCUCGUCUCGCCGCCGUGGGCCCUCGCUGCUGGCGCCGGCCACCGCCUCCCUCACCCCCGCGAACCCACUCUAGCCCGUAGAUUCCGCUGUCGCGGAGGCCGGUGUGGGGGCGAUGGAGGCGGCCUUCAACACUUAACCUCCACGCUGCUGAUUUGGACCACGAUGACUGGAAGCACCCAGGAGACCUCCGGCCUCCCACAGCCUGUCCUGGCGCAGUGGCGAAGCCAAGGGCCGGGGUGCGGAUCCGAGGGCGGCGCGCAGGAGAGCCAGAAGCCGCCAUGGCCUCCGGCACCGCACUGCUGGCGGGGCCGUCGUUGUUGCGACAGGCAACGACAGGGUCAACCAGCCAGCGGCGCCACCGACGGAUGGUCCGUCCUAGUGGGAAGGUGCCACCAAGGAAACGUUAACCAGUGGUGGCGGUGGCUGCCGGCAAGGAAACGUUAACACUUGGUCAACUUACUACUGUCUUUUUCUUUGAGUUUGUUAUGCUUGAUUGCUUUGCAGGAAUGGUACUUAUAACCAAAGCAAAUACUGUAACUUAGCAUGUGCACUUGUGUGACUAGAAGUUACAAACAUAUGUAUGUCUGAUAUUUGGUUAAUUGUUGUGUUAUGGUACUUAUAAUUGUUGCCUUUCUUACCAUUUAAUUACAGAAAAAAGUAAUGGUCGAUCAUGAAUGGAUGCACAAUGCUUGGAACAUUUGCUGUUUCUUUUCAACAAGCUUGAUGAGGCUCAAAUGGAAGCUAUAGUCGCUGAACCUACAAAGGAAGGCCACGUACCAAAGACUCUUGCUGAAGCUGUUGCUAAAGUUUUGCCAACAUCAAAAUUUCUUAAAAAUGUCGGUCUUGAGUCAGCAGCUCCAAAGUGGAGCGCCAAGUCCACUGUUUCUGCAUGCGCACAAGAACUUGAAACUGAGGUUGAGUCGGAGAAGCAAUGUUCUGCAUCACUAAAAGAAAAAUUCGAUAUGCAGCAAUAUGAGUUGGAGGUCUUGAAGUUGAAGUUUGGGGAGUUGGAACAAGCAAGGAAGAAACAGCUUGGAGAGAUUGAAGAAUUGAAGAACCAAGGAGAGGAGACAAAUACCCUUCUUCGUUGUUUGUUGUGCCUCAACAAGGAGUAGGUUGUUCCUUAUUUGUUAUGGCUACCUUACAGAUUCAUGAAUGUGAUCUAUAUUAUGCCUGUAUUACUAGCUAUUUUGAAUGUAAUGUGCUGUGAGCCUGUAAAUAGGUUGUGAUGUUGCUACCUUGCAUAUUCUGUGAAGUGACCUGCUGUUUUGAAUGAAUCUGCUGUUAUGGGCUGAAA